AGCGAACGCUGGCGGCAGGCUUAACACAUGCAAGUCGAACGGGCACUUCGGUGCUAGUGGCAGACGGGUGAGUAACGCGUGGGAACGUGCCUUUCGGUUCGGAAUAAUCCAGGGAAACUUGGACUAAUACCGGAUACGCCCUUCGGGGGAAAGAUUUAUCGCCGAAAGAUCGGCCCGCGUCUGAUUAGCUAGUUGGUGAGGUAAAGGAUCACCAAGUCGACGAUCAGUAGCUGGUCUGAGAGGAUGAUCAGCCACAUUGGGACGGAGACACGGCCCAAACUCCUACGGAGGGCAGCAGUGGGGAAUAUUGGACAAUGGGCGCAAGCCUGAUCCAGCCAUGCCGCGUGAGUGAUGAAGGCCUUAGGGUUGUAAAGCUCUUUUGUCCGGGAAGAUAAUGACUGUACCGGAAGAAUAAGCCCCGGCUAACUUCGUGCCAGCAGCCGCAGUAAAAC
rnacentral:rRNA from 1 species